rnacentral:rRNA from 1 species
ACGAACGCUGGCGGCGUGCUUACACCUGCAAGUGGAGCGACGAACCGGGCUUCGGCCCGGGGCAGAGCCGCGAACGGGUGAGUAACACGUGGGUUAUCUGCCCAGUUGACAGGGACAACCCGGGGAAACCCGGGCUAAUACCUGAUGUGCCCCUCGGGGGAAAGGAAGCUUCGGCCUCCGCAACUGGAUGAGCCCGCGGCCCAUUAGCUUGUUGGUGGGGUAAUGGCCUACCAAGGCUGCGAUGGGUAGCUGGUCUGAGAGGACGAUCAGCCACACUGGGACUGAGACACGGCCCAGACUCCUACGGGAGGCAGCAGUGGGGAAUCUUGCGCAAUGCGCGAAAGCGUGACGCAGCAACGCCGCGUGAGGGAAGACGGCCUUCGGGUUGUAAACCUCUUUCAGUUGGGACGAAGGGCAACCGGUGAAUAGCCGUUUGGACUGACGGUACCUUCAGAAGAAGCCCCGGCUAACUACGUGCCAGCAGCCGCGGUAAUACGUAGGGGGCAAGCGUUGUCCGGAAUCAUUGGGCGUAAAGCGCGUGUAGGCGGCCUGGUAAGUCCGUUCUGAAAGCCCGGGGCUCAACCCCGGGGGGCGGAUGGAUACUGUCAGGCUCGAGUCCGGAAGAGGCAAGUGGAAUUCCCGGUGU